rnacentral:rRNA from 1 species
UACGUAGGGGGCUAGCGUUGUCCGGAAUCAUUGGGCGUAAAGCGCGCGUAGGCGGCCCGGUAAGUCCGCUGUAAAAGUCAAAGGCUUAACCUUUGAAUGUCAGUGGAUACUGCCGGGCUAGAGUCCGGAAGAGGCGAGUGGAACUCCUGGUGUAGCGGUGGAAUGCGCAGAUAUCAGGAAGAACACCGGUGGCGAAGGCGGGUCUCUGGGCCGAUACUGACGCUGAGGAGCGAAAGCGUGGGGAGCGAACAGG